rnacentral:lncRNA from 1 species
CUAAGGAGCCUGGUGGAAGGGCUAGAAGGGUUAUAUUUAGCAGGUAUGUAUUAGGAUGCCAACAAAUGUAUUAAUAUACCAAUUAUUAGAUAGCUGCUACCUUGAAUGUCUCCAUCAUCUUAGCUGAAGCUGAUCAAGUGUCUCCCCUGGGUUUUUCCCUAUCGUAGCCACUAAAGGAGUAACAACAUACACCCCUGAACUUAUGCAACAGCCAGCAGCUAGUCUGGUAUUAGGCAUCUCUUCUGAUUGAUGAGUGCUGAUGCCUUAGUAUUUUGAGUAUCAACUCUGCCUAUAAGGGCUCAGCCAGUCCUGGGAAGGCUGGGAGGCAUGGCUCUCUCCACUUCUACCUGGCAACUCCUGGACCAGAGUGUCAUGGAGGAUUAAACUUCCCUGGUGACUCUCUGCAUCUUCCCCCAACUCCUGGCAAGCAGUCAAUACUUUGGGAAGGUUCUAGUAAAGAAUAUAACUCCUGUGCUCUAGAGAAUAUGAAGUUGGAUCACAACUCACCUUCCUGGAAUACUUAAUGAAAGAAUCACAGAAUUAAAACCAACCUCCCUCGGCCACCCACCCUAUCUUCGCCCUGAAAAUAAAAAUCAGCAGCAG